rnacentral:rRNA from 1 species
AGAGUUUGAUCCUGGCUCAGGACGAACGCUGGCGGCGUGCUUAACACAUGCAAGUCAAGGGGAACGAUCGACUUCGGUUGAUUUAGUAUACUGGCGAACGGGUGAGUAACGCGUAGGUAACCUGCCUAUGAGUUUGGGAUAACACUGCUAACGCGGUGCUAAUACCGGAUAACGCAUCAUUAUUGCAUAUUGAUGAUGUUAAAGCGGGCUUUCGGGCUCGUGCUUAUAGAUGGACCUGCGUCCCAUUAGUUAGUUGGCGGGGUAACGGCCCACCAAGGCGACGAUGGGUAGCCGACCUGAGAGGGUGAUCGGCCACACUGGGACUGAGAUACGGCCCAGACUCCUACGGGAGGCAGCAGUGAGGAAUAUUGCGCAAUGGAGGAAACUCUGACGCAGCAACGCCGCGUGCGGGAUGACGCUUUUAGGAGUGUAAACCGCUGUUAGAAGGGACGAAUAAGAUAGUUUCGAAUAGGGACUAUUGAUGACGGUACCUUCAGAGAAAGCCCCGGCUAACUCCGUGCCAGCAGCCGCGGUAAUACGGAGGGGGCGAGCGUUGUCCGGAUUUAUUGGGCGUAAAGGGCGCGUAGGCGGGCUAAUCAGUCUGUGGUGAAAGUUUGCGGCUUAACCGUAAAAUUGCCUUGGAUACUGUUAGUCUUGAGUUCGGAAGAGGAGAGUGGAAUUCCUGGUGUAGCGGUGAAAUGCGUAGAUAUCAGGAAGAACACCGGUGGCGAAGGCGGCUCUCUGGUCCGAAACUGACGCUGAGGCGCGAAAUUGUGGGUAGCGAACAGGAUUAGAUACCCUGUAGUCCACACAGUAAACGAUGGAUACUAGGUGUUGGAUGGUAACGUUCAGCGCCGGAGCAAACGCAUUAAGUAUCCCGCCUGGGGAGUACGAUCGCAAGAUUGAAACUCAAAGGAAUUGACGGGGGCCCGCACAAGCGGUGGAGCAUGUGGUUUAAUUCGAUUCAACGCGAAGAACCUUACCUGGGCUUGAACUGCAGGCAUUAGCUACCUGAAAGGGAUAGCGAUUCUUCUUUGAAGAAACCUGUAGAGGUGCUGCAUGGCUGUCGUCAGCUCGUGUCGUGAGAUGUUGGGUUAAGUCCCGCAACGAGCGCAACCCUUACUAUUAGUUGUCAGCGAGUUAAGUCGGAUACUCUAAUGGGACUGCCGGUGACGAGCCGGAGGAAGGUGGGGAUGACGUCAAGUCAGCAUGGCCUUUAUGUUCAGGGCUACACACGUGCUACAAUGGAUGGUACAGAGGGCAGCAAGACCGCGAGGUGGAGCCAAUCCUUAAAACCAUUCUCAGUUCGGAUUGCAGGCUGCAAUUCGCCUGCAUGAAGCUGGAAUUGCUAGUAAUCGCGGAUCAGCAACGUCGCGGUGAAUGCGUUCUCGGGUCUUGUACACACCGCCCGUCACAUCACGAAAGCUGGUGGUGCCAGAAGUCGCUGGUCUAACCUAC